CUGAAUAGCUGAGAGGCGCACCCGGGCGGCCAGCUGGGCUCGGAGUGCAGCGGGGUUAGGAUGGACGAGGACGUGUUGCACCCUGAAGAGCCUCAUCAUCGCCUGCUCUUGAGGUUCACAGAUGAUACCUUUGAUCCAGAACUUGCAGCAACAAUAGGCCUUUUGCUUUCUUCAGGUUCACCUGCUUCCAGGCGGGCAGGGCGUUGUAUUCAUCCCUCGUCAUGUCUAGUGCAAACUGGAAACAUUGGGAGAAGCGCCCCGCGGCUCAGUGAAAGGAGCCGGGCGUGCGUGUGUUGUUUUACUCCCAUCCCCACCCCACCGGAAGAACCGCUUACCUCGAAGUCUUCGUCGGUGAGAUAGAUCUCAAGCUUCAGAGGAUCGACCCCCUCCGGGAGUGGCCUGGCCAGGAGGUCGGCCAGCGGGUAAAUGGUUUUACAGAGCUUGGCUAAGACGUCUUCCACGAGGGUGAUCUGAUUGGAAACUUCC
rnacentral:lncRNA from 1 species